rnacentral:sRNA from 1 species
GCCGGGUGCAGUGGCUCACGCCUGUAAUCCCAGGCUUGGGAGGCUGAGGCUGGAGGAUUGCGAGUUCAAAGCCAGCCUCAGCAACGGCUAGACACUAAGCACCUUGGUGAGACCCUGUCUCUA